rnacentral:lncRNA from 1 species
CUUAGUAGUGGUUAAGCAAAACUUUUCCACCAUCGUCGUGCUGGCUACGUUCGAGCAACUUUCACCAUCAAUAAUAACUCUACAAAGCUUACCUUGUACAUGGCAGCGAGUAUGAAAGAGAUGUUCUCGGUGCUGCUCGCUCUUUGGUUUUGCCAAAGAGGGUUGUCCACGAUCAUGAAGAUCAUAAUCAGUUCUAGGGACACGCUGAGGAGCGUGCCUAUGAGCAGGAGGCUGGUUAUCCACAUCGUCUUUAAUUUGAUCUCGAUAUUGAGGCUCUUGAUUCAACCGCACCUCAUUGAUAGUAGCAGUCAACGCUCGAAGUGCAGCAGCCUGUUCUUCCAACUGUUGUUGGAAUUUUUUAAAUGUGUCAUCAUUAUUAU